rnacentral:rRNA from 1 species
GCCUAACACAUGCAAGUCGAACGGAACUUCUUCGACAGAAUUCUUCGGAAGGAAGUUGAUUAAGUUUAGUGGCGGACGGGUGAGUAACGCGUGAGUAACCUGCCUUUGAGAGGGGAAUAACUUCCCGAAAGGGAUGCUAAUACCGCAUGACGCAUAUUUAUCGCAUGGUAGCUAUGCCAAAGAUUUAUCGCACAAAGAAGGACUCGCGUCCGAUUAGCCAGUUGGCGGGGUAACGGCCCACCAAAGCGACGAUCGGUAGCCGGACUGAGAGGUUGGACGGCCACAUUGGGACUGAGACACGGACCAGACUCCUACGGGAGGCAGCAGUGGGGGAUAUUGCGCAAUGGGGGAAACCCUGACGCAGCAACGGCGCGUGAAGGAUGAAGGUUUUCGGAUUGUAAACUUCUUUUAUUUAGGACGAACAAUGACGGUACUAAAUGAAUAAGCUCCGGCUAACUACGUGCCAGCCGCCGCGGUAA